rnacentral:misc_RNA from 1 species
AAGAGUAAGGGUGCUCAGCGCCCGACCUCCAACCCUUUGUUGUUAAAACUACCUUGUUGCUUUGGCGGGACCGCUCGGUUCCGAGCCGCUGGGGAUUCGUCCCAGGCGAGCGCCCGCCAGAGUUAAACCAAACUCUUGUUAUUAAACCGGUCGUCUGAGUUAAAAUUUUGAAUAAAUCA